GCCAGAUUUCAUUGUUCACUACUACAUAACCCAUCUUCAGUACAAGAUCUAAACUACAUAAACCCAUAUCAUUACAGGAGGAACAUAGAGCUACGAAGGCGAAGGAAGAGCCCCUCCCCUUGGACGCCCUUUCAACGGGAGCCGGAAGAAGCGGGGAUCCUGCAGCGCCUGCCUCUUCCCCUUCGGCCCAAGAAAGGCGCCUGGAGGAGAGAAGCGGGGCUUUUGGGCCGCCUCCUGGAUCGGGACCUGGACGGAGGAAGGGGUGAGACUCAGCUGAUUGCUCUUUGCUGUUUUUGGACCCAAAAACCAAUAACCAAAUCCCAGAUCCCUCCAACAUUUGCAAGACUGGUCCUAACUACCUAA
rnacentral:lncRNA from 1 species